UACGGAAGGCAGUAGUGGGGAAUAUUGGACAAUGGGCGCAAGCCUGAUCCAGCCAUGCCGCGUGUGUGAAGAAGGCCUUCGGGUUGUAAAGCACUUUUGUCCGGAAAGAAAAGCUUAGGGUUAAUAACCUUGAGUCAUGACGGUACCGGAAGAAUAAGCACCGGCUAACUUCGUGCCAGCAGCCGCGGUAAUACGAAGGGUGCAAGCGUUACUCGGAAUUACUGGGCGUAAAGCGUGCGUAGGUGGUUUGUUAAGUCUGAUGUGAAAGCCCUGGGCUCAACCUGGGAAUGGCAUUGGAAACUGGCUUACUAGAGUGCGGUAGAGGGGUGUGGAAUUCCCGGUGUAGCAGUGAAAUGCGUAGAUAUCGGGAGGAACAUCUGUGGCGAAAGGCGACACCCUGGACCAGCACUGACACUGAGGCACGAAAGCGUGGGGAGCAAACAGGGAUUAGAUACC
rnacentral:rRNA from 1 species